rnacentral:rRNA from 1 species
CCUACGGGAGGCAGCAGUGGGGAAUUUUGGACAAUGGGGGCAACCCUGAUCCAGCCAUGCCGCGUGUGUGAAGAAGGCCUUCGGGUUGUAAAGCACUUUCGGACGGAACGAAAUCGCGCGGGUGAAUAUCCCGCGUGGAUGACGGUACUGUAUGAAGAAGCACCGGCUAACUACGUGCCAGCAGCCGCGGUAAUACGUAGGGUGCGAGCGUUAAUCGGAAUUACUGGGCGUAAAGCGUGCGCAGGCGGCUUCGCAAGUCAGACGUGAAAUCCCCGGGCUUAACCUGGGAAUGGCGUUUGAAACUACGGAGCUGGAGUGUGGCAGAGGGAGGUAGAAUUCCACGUGUAGCGGUGAAAUGCGUAGAUAUGUGGAGGAAUACCGAUGGCGAAGGCAGCCUCCUGGGCCAACACUGACGCUCAUGCACGAAAGCGUGGGGAGCAAACAGGAUUAGAUACCCUGGUAGUCCACGCCCUAAACUAUGUCAACUAGUUGUUGGGGGAGUUAAAUCCCUUAGUAACGCAGCUAACGCGUGAAGUUGACCGCCUGGGGAGUACGGUCGCAAGNUUAAAACUCAAAGGAAUUGACGGNUAGAGNGCGACGAGACGACGAGGAGGAGG